rnacentral:lncRNA from 1 species
CCGACCUCCGCACCCCGGCGCCUGGAGAGGCUUUGCGAGGUCGAGAGACUUUUGCCGCUCAGAGGCCGUUUCCCUGCGACGCGCAGAGCACGGCCACGACUGGCGCGCCCGCCAGAGGCCUCGAUCGCUCUGGUUUUCAGGGGUGACUGGGUGGGUUGAUGGGUUGUUCGAUGUUUCCGCCAUUAGAUUGGGAAGAAGGAAGAGAAUCGUGCGUUAAGCACUUGGGAGUGUUUGCGUUUAAGCUUUGGGACAAACACCUUGCGAGCUGGAUUGCAUUCUGUCCUUAGACGGGAAAACAGGCCAGAGCUGUUAGCGGAAGUGCCCAAAGCAGUACUGCUAACGCGAGCUAACGAGGAAUUCUCCUUUCCUCCGCUUCAAGACGGCAGAUCAAAUAGCCCCGUGAUCCACUCUCACCGCAUAAGAGCAUGUUAAAUUAAAUAGUGAUUAAAUUAUUAAACAAUAAAUAAUUACAGCUCCG